AGUGGCGGACGGGUGAGUAACGCGUGGGUAACCUGCCCUGUACAGGGGGAUAACACUUAGAAAUAGGUGCUAAAACCGCAUAAGCGCACAGUCUCGCAUGAGACAGUGUGAAAAACUCCGGUGGUACAGGAUGGACCCGCGUUGGAUUAGCUAGUUGGUGAGGUAACGGCUCACCAAGGCUGCGAUCAGUAGCCGGACUGAGAGGUUGAACGGCCACAUUGGGACUGAGAUACGGCCCAGACUCCUACGGGAGGCAGCAGUGGGGAAUCUUGCGCAAUGGGGGGAACCCUGACGCAGCGACGCCGCGUGCGGGACGGAGGCCUUCGGGUCGUAAACCGCUUUCAGCAGGGAAGAGUCAAGACUGUACCUGCAGAAGAAGCCCCGGCUAACUACGUGCCAGCAGCCGCGGUAAUACGUAGGGGGCGAGCGUUAUCCGGAUUCAUUGGGCGUAAAGCGCGCGUAGGCGGCCCGGCAGGCCGGGGGUCGAAGCGGGGGGCUCAACCCCCCGAAGCCCCCGGAACCUCCGCGGCUUGGGUCCGGUAGGGGAGGGUGGAACACCCGGUGUAGCGGUGGAAUGCGCAGAUAUCGGGUGGAACACCGGUGGCGAAGGCGGCCCUCUGGGCCGAGACCGACGCUGAGGCGCGAAAGCUGGGGGAGCGAACAGGAUUAGAUACCCUGGUAGUCCCAGCCGUAAACGAUGGACGCUAGGUGUGGGGGGGACGAUCCCCCCGUGCCGCAGCCAACGCAUUAAGCGUCCCGCCUGGGGAGUACGGCCGCAAGGCUAAAACUCAAAGGAAUUGACGGGGGCCCGCACAAGCAGCGGAGCAUGUGGCUUAAUUCGAAGCAACGCGAAGAACCUUACCAAAUCUUGACAU
rnacentral:rRNA from 1 species